rnacentral:rRNA from 1 species
UGGGGAAUCUUGGACAAUGGGGGCAACCCUGAUCCAGCCAUGCCGCGUGAGUGAUGAAGGCCUUAGGGUCGUAAAGCUCUUUCGCCUGUGAAGAUAAUGACGGUAGCAGGUAAAGAAACCCCGGCUAACUCCGUGCCAGCAGCCGCGGUAAUACGGAGGGGGCUAGCGUUGUUCGGAAUUACUGGGCGUAAAGCGCACGUAGGCGGACCAGAAAGUUGGGGGUGAAAUCCCGGGGGCUCAACCCCGGAACUGCCUCCAAAACUAUUGGUCUAGAGUUCGAGAGAGGUGAGUGGAAUUCCAAGUGUAGAGGUGAAAUUCGUAGAUAUCGGGAGGAACACCGGUGGCGAAGGCGGUCACCUGGGCCAGUACUGACGCUGAGGCGCGAAAGCGUGGGGAGCAAACAGGAUUAGAUACCCUGGUAGUCCACACCGUAAACGAUGAAUGCCAGUCGUCGGGUAGCAUGCUAUUCGGUGACACACCUAACGGAUUAAGCAUUCCGCCUGGGGAGUACGGUCGCAGAUUAAAA